UACGAAGGGGGCUAGCGUUGUUCGGAUUUACUGGGCGUAAAGGGCGCGCAGGCGGCCGCAUUUGUCAGGCGUGAAAGCCCCGGGCUUAACCUGGGAACUGCGUUUGAUACGGUGUGGCUAGAGUUCGGGAGAGGAGAGUGGAAUUCCCAGUGUAGAGGUGAAAUUCGUAGAUAUUGGGAAGAACACCGGUGGCGAAGGCGGGUCUCUGGGCCGAUACUGACGCUGAGGAGCGAAAGCGUGGGGAGCAAACAGG
rnacentral:rRNA from 1 species